GCGUGAGCAGUGCGCGAGGUUCGGCGUUCGAGAGAAAAAGCUUCCUCGCUGGGCGUCCGGCCCAUAGGAGCUACCGCCGCCCACGUCACUGUGCCGCACCCAAACCAGCGCUGUCACCCUCUGAGAGGAUACCUCGCCCAGUCCUUCCGCUGGGCAACUGGUCCAGGAUGGCUGGCGGUCAUGAACCUGGCUGAACGAGCGUUCGGGGCCACCUGAGUUCCGCGAGGCGGUCCGACCCUGCUCGCCUACCCUGCUGGCCGACAUCGGUUGCACGACGUCUCCGACAUGGCGACACGUGCUUCCGCCUGAACUGUACGCCGGUUACACUUGAUCAAUACGUAUAUAUAGCUGCAUGUCGUCUAGAAGGUAUUUCGGGAACUGUCGCGUUUGUGUGCCGUUUUUAAUGUGUUAAUGUCUUAAUACAAGUCUGAUGUGUGCUUGUG